AUUCUUGUAGUCGUGGCCGAGUGGUUAAGGCGAUGGACUUGAAAUCCAUUGGGGUCUUCCCGCGCAGGUUCGAAUCCUGCCGACUACGUGCUUAUGUUUUCUC
rnacentral:tRNA from 14 species